GGUUCCAUAGUGUAACAGUGAGUACAUCUGUUUUACAUGCAGAAGGUCCUGGGUUCAUGCCCCAGUGGAGCCA
rnacentral:tRNA from 1 species